rnacentral:RNase_P_RNA from 1 species
AACGUGAGAGAAUCGCGCAAAGCUUUAAGCUUUGUGAGGAAAGUCCGUACUCGCACAGGCUGCGAUGCCUGUAGUGUUCGUGCCAAGCGAAACAGUAAGCUUGGGCAGUCCAUAAACGUAUGGACUGACGGCAGGGACCGCACCUAAGUCCGAUUUGGAUAUGGUGCCAAUACCUUGAAAGUGCCACAGUGACGGAGCUUCAAGAGAAAUUUUGAAGGUGGAACGAGGUAAACCCCACGAGCGAGAAACCCAAAUUUGGUAGGGGAAGCGUCUGGCGGGAAUUGAACCAAAAGGACGCCACAGUUUAAGCUGUGAGAUAGAUGAUUCUCCAUAUUGUGCGAGGGCAUAUACUGUCCGAUUAUAGCACACUAUGAACAGAAUGCGGCUUACGAAC